rnacentral:rRNA from 1 species
UACGUAGGGGGCGAGCGUUGUCCGGAGUUACUGGGCGUAAAGGGCAUGCAGGCGGUCGGACGCGUUUUGUGUGACAGCGGGUGGCUCAACUACCCGAGCAUGCGAAAGACGGUCGGACUUGAGGACUCGAGAGGGACACGGAAUUCCGGGUGGAGUGGUGAAAUGCGUAGAGAUCCGGAGGACACCGAAGGCGAAGGCAGUGUCCUGGCGAGUGACUGACGCUGAGGUGCGAAAGCCAGGGGAGCGAACAGG